UUUCAUCAUUCAUUCAUGGCUUGAGUCAUUCAUCCGACAAACAUUUAUUGAGAACCUCCCAUUUGCCAAGUUCUCCGCCCUGGAAGACACAUGAACAGAUCACCACACACUAGGAUCAGCGCCAUCACAGAAAUAAGCGCGGAGGGAAAUGUGAUCACGCUGCGUACCCCACAAGGUACCAGUGGCCUGCGACCCGGUCCACACACCAACACUAGACAAGAACAGAGUCGAGCGAGAGGUGCAAAGAGAUGACUGGCCCCUUCCCUUGUCUGAAAUGCCAGAAGAGCCGUUAAAGCAGCAGAAGCCAUGUUCUUCUUCCAGACGCCCGUCCCCACGCGGCUCCCACCCGUGACCACCAUAAGCUGAAGCCACGUGACAACUGCGAUUAUCCGUCAUCGUUGUCACCCACAUGACGACGAGGCCGCUCCCCACUGCGCGCUGCUCCGAUGCGUCGGAAAGUGAGAGACGCUCUUCCGAGGGCUUCUUGUUUGUUUGCUGUUUGCUUUAUAAGCUCCUUCAGGCAGGAUGGGGGCAGGGGGAGAGGGAGAAAUGGAAAUUCAGUCAGGAAAACAAUUAACCAGCACAGCUUCGCUGCACAGCAACAUGAAAUCCUAUCGCCUUUAGAGCCCCGCGCGCCCGGCUCUGGUUUCACGCGCAUUUAAGGAUGAAAACCGGUCCGAACGCUGAGCUGAUGCUGGCCUGCAAAUGAAAAAAUCAAAGAGGCAAACAUUGUAAAAUCUCGUUCGCUGCCUAAUCACAUCUCAAGAAUGGUGAUCUGAGCUGGGAGUAUUUUUAGUCUGUACACAAGAAAAUGCACCUUCGCUCUCCUUAGGCCUUGGUCGGUUGCCAGAGAAUUGUCAAUCUGUCUUUUUCUUUUUUUCCACGUUGCAUAUAAAAAAGUUAAUGGGAUGAGCGCUGGGUGUUAUUCUAUAUGUUGGCAAACUGAACACCAAUAAAAAAUAAAUUCAUAAAAAAUAAAAAUAAAUAAAAAAUAAAAAAAGUCAACGUUUGCUUAAAAAUACAUUGCACUAGUUCACUAAUGACGCUGUCAGCUAAGCCACCGUCCUCACAGACAACCGGGCUGUCCUCGCUAGAUCCCGCGAAGCAGUAACGAGCGCUUUCCCCAAAAGCAAAGUACUAGCGCUUCUGGAAAGGGGACACACCUACCAACCUUUGUGCUAAGCUUUGCCGCGUAAGAGGGAUCUACUUUUAUCUCAAAACGCCAGGAUAGAUCACAUAACCUGCAAAACAUUCAUGCUUCCUUUCCUUUUUUUUUUUUUUUCCCCUUUCCUAAUUGAGUGUUUUUCUUUUGGAGAGUUUGUGGUGUACUAGGAGUUCACCUGCAAUACAGCAGGAAAUCUCUCAACACAAAGCAAUCCACAAAGGUUUAUUUCGCCCCGAGUACUUCCGAAGGGGUUUUUGUCAUUUGACUUUAGGUUGAAAAAGGAAAUAAAGUGACUGAGGCAUCUGGCUCCCUUAUCUUUUUCAAGAAACCAUCUUGGAAUAAUGUGAGAUUCACCGAAAGGUCGCCGACGUGUACAGGAUGCAGGGCUCCUGCGCGGCCCUUGCACGGCUGCCCCACGUCUUACGCCUUAGGUCACUAUGGCACAUCUGUCAAAACUAAGAAGCUGGUAUUGAUCGAUUGCCAUGGACUGAACUGCAGGUUUUGUUUGGAUCCCACCAACCGUCCUCUGGCUCUUCCGGGAUCCACCUUGCCCUGAGUUCACACCUCCUCGGUCGCCCGGAUCUGUGCCGGUUCCGCAUCUUUGCUGGUUUUUCACGACGGGUCACAUAUCCUGUAGCGUUGUCUCCAACCUGAGCUUCUCUCUUGCUUUUUCUCGUGGUGGGAGUGGUGGUGGGAGUUUUUAGGACGAAUAACACAGAGGUGAGUCGCCCUUCCGUCCCUCGGUGUCAGAGUGAUACCCACGCGAUGGCACUGCUGACAUUAGCCUUCGUUCCCCGAGAGCUCGUGGUGGCCAACUUUCUCCACUCCAGGGGCGCCCGGGGGGCUCCGUGGUUGAGCGUCUGCCUUCGGCU